rfam:Pseudomonas caspiana strain FBF102 scaffold00026, whole genome shotgun sequence.
AGGCGCGUAGCUCAGUUGGUUAGAGCACCACCUUGACAUGGUGGGGGUCGCUGGUUCGAGUCCAGUCGCGCCUA